ACAGGAAGGACUCCCUCCAUGCUGCAUCCCCCACCCCCUUUCAGGGCACCCCUGACCCAUGGGUGGGUAGGAUGACGUCCAUGUCCAGCCAGAAGUAGUUACAAGAAGAUGAGACAUUCGUCGAUUGUCCUUUAAAAGAAUUUAAAGUGGGUGUAUAUCU